AUUGAACGCUGGCGGCAGGCCUAACACAUGCAAGUCGAACGAGUGGCGGACGGGUGAGUAAUGUCUGGGACACUGCCUGAUGGAGGGGGAUAACUACUGGAAACGGUAGCUAAUACCGCAUACCAUCGGAUGUGCCCAGAUGGGAUUAGCUAGUAGGUGGGGUAAAGGCUCACCUAGGCGACGAUCCCUAGCUGGUCUGAGAGGAUGACGAGACAGACUGGAACUGAGAAACGGACCAGACUGAUAAGGGAGGGAGAAGUGGGGAAUAGGGCAGAAGGGGGGGAAGCCUGAGGCAGCCAGGCCGCGUGUAUGAAGAAGGACGUCGGGUUGUAAAGUACAUUCAGCGGGGAGGCGUUACCCGCAGAAGAAGCACCGGCUAACUACGUGCCAGCAGCCGCGGUAAUAC
rnacentral:rRNA from 1 species